rnacentral:rRNA from 1 species
GUGGGGAAUAUUGGACAAUGGGCGCAAGCCUGAUCCAGCAAUGCCGCGUGAGUGAAGAAGGCCUUAGGGUUGUAAAGCUCUUUCACCGGGGAAGAUCAUGACGGUACCCGGAAAAGAAGCCCCGGCUAACUCCGUGCCAGCAGCCGCGGUAAUACGGAGGGGGCUAGCGUUGUUCGGAAUUACUGGGCGUAAAGCGCGCGUAGGCGGCUUGCCAAGUCGGACGUGAAAGCCCGGGGCUCAACCCCGGAAUUGCGCUCGAAACUGGUAGGCUAGAGACCGGGAGAGGAGAGUGGAAUUCCCAGUGUAGAGGUGAAAUUCGUAGAUAUUGGGAAGAACACCAGUGGCGAAGGCGGCUCUCUGGUCCGGACCUGACGCUGAGGCGCGAAAGCGUGGGGAGCAAACAGG